CGCGCCCUACGGGACGCAGCAGUGGGGGAUAUUGCACAAUGGGGGAAACCCUGAUGCAGCGACGCCGCGUGGGUGAAGAAGCGCCUCGGCGCGUAAAGCCCUGUCAGCAGGGAAGAAAAUGACGGUACCUGAAGAAGAAGCCCCGGCUAACUACGUGCCAGCAGCCGCGGUAAUACGUAGGGGGCAAGCGUUAUCCGGAUUUACUGGGUGUAAAGGGGGCGCAGACGGCGAUGCAAGCCAGGAGUGAAAGCCAGGGGCCCAACCCCGGGACUGCUCUUGGAACUGCGUGGCUAGAGUGCAGGAGG
rnacentral:rRNA from 1 species